rnacentral:lncRNA from 1 species
UAAUUGUGCAUGAAAUUUUAAUUAGGAUGGUAUGUAUGAGUGCAUUAUGUGUGCCUGCUGCAGCACGUCAUGUCCGAGCUACUGGUGGAACCCCGAGUCCUACCUCGGUCCGGCUUCCCUCCUUCAUGCCAACCGGUAACAGUUUUUUUCCCUUUUACGAAUUCUUGGUCAAGAGAGAAAUUUAUUGGUAGCUGAGUCUUUUGUAGGAUGGAUUGUCAUAUGUAGGAAGGUUUUGACAGAGGGUAUGUUUUUCUGAGCUUAAAAAGUUUAUUCGAGAAAUGAAGUAAAUUAAAUAAGAAUUCUUUUUAUUGAUCAAAAUUGAUUGUUUUCUUCAUUAAUCCUAUUUAGUUCAAUCUAAUGUAACGUACUGAUCUAGCCAUUACCAAAAAAUUUGCCAUGAAUAGCUGGUUCAGAAAAUGUAUAGUUGCCCUAAUGAAGAAUAAGAGAGAGAGAGAGAGAGAGAGAGAGAGCUUAGGUAAUCAAGGCUUGAAUUUAACUCGAUUCAUUAAGAUUUUUUGGUUAAAAAAUAUGCAAGAUUUAAGUUUGUCUUUAAAUUCCUCUCUGAAUUAUCUUUUGUUUGAUAUGUUAUAACUAACCCUGUCAGGAUUUUACAAUAUUUUUCUCGUAUUAGAACAAGCCAUUACCAAAAACAUGCCAUGAAUAGCUUGUUCCAAAAAUUGUUUAUUUGCCAUGAUGAAGAAUAAAAGAGAAAAAUUACAUAAUCAAGGCUUGAAUUUAACUCAUUUCAUUAAGAGUUUUUGGUUUAAAAAUAUGAAAGAUUUAAGGUUAUCUUGAAAUUCCUCUGUUGAAUUAUCUUUUGUUUGACAUGUUUAUAAGUAAGUUAUAAACAACCUGUCAGAGGAGUUUACUAUUUUUUUCUUGUUUUAGAACAAGUUAUUGUUUCUAUUGAACAUCUGUACCAUAUAUACGAAGCAUUUAAUAGCUGGCUUGAGAGAGAAGUGAGCCAUGUAGGAUUCUUUUUUAGCAUUGAGAAAUUACAAGUAGGAUUCAAGAUGAAGUGAAACUAUCGAAAUGAAUGAAAGAAGAUUUGAGUUUGGUUUAAAAUUGUGGUACUUUAAUGCUUCGCUAUAAUGUUGGUAAAAAUUAUUUGAGUGUUACGAUGAGUAAAAAUUUCUGGAACUUCUGUUGAAACAAUGAUGUCUUCGUGAACAAUGAUAAGGACUCAAAAAUUGAUGGGGCCAUUCUAAGUUGGGAUCGGGUUUCCUUCCCAGUUUUGUGCCUUGUGCUGUUACUAAUUCUUCAUCAUACGGUUUUGAAAUCAGAAGUCUAUAAACUGUGUGCUUUUUGUUGACUGCACUGAGUUUGUAGUACAAAAUGCCUGAUAUAUACAUUGGUUAUUAUUUCUUUCUGUUUGGUGUCUCGAUCUACUAAGGAUCACGUAAUGGCUCAGUCAGCUUAUUUUGCAUCUCUACUUAUCCAACUCCCUUUGCUUCUGUCCCUCAAUCCCACAAAACAAAAGAAAAAAAAAUGGAAACACAACAAAAUUUUGCACUAUGGGUGAUUGAACUGGUAUGAUGUUUACUAGUGCCUACAAUGUAAUUAUCCUGCAAUUUUCUCUAAUUGACCCCUUUUUUCUUUGACUGUGGCUGCCAAUCAAUCAGAUGGAUAAUGGACAGUCGUGAUGAAUAUACAGAGGAGCGCCUUGAAGCAAUAAAUGAUGAGUUCAAGCUAUAUCGCUGCCACACAAUUCUGAAUUGUGCUAAAGCUUGCCCAAAGGGACUGAAUCCCGGGAAGCAAAUCCAGAAUAUCAAGAAACUCGAGAUGACUACUCCUUGAGUUCCUGGGAAACAUAUGAUGUACAUAUAUCUUUCUUCACAAUUAUGUUGAAGGGCCGGUUGAGUUUCACGGGGAAAUAAUGUAUGCACUUGAUGUAAUUUUAUAAGUCUUUCAUAUCCGUCGUGUACCUUAGUUUAAGGUCAUUGUUCUAAAAAUAACAUUUCAAGAGCUAUCGCGUAUAAAUACUUCACUUAUUAGCGAUUCAUCGAUGUAAUUUCAGUUGGAUUGUUUGUUAGUUUCUUUUGGUAUAAUUCAGUGAAAACAUUCUCUGCUUAUUUGACAUUUAAAUGUUAUUGUUUAAAAGUUGUAACAGAAAAAUCACACUGAUAAUGUUCUCAUGGCUUAAACUUUUGAGUUGUCACAUUGUGUCCUCUUGCCAACACG